UUAAAUCCAACGAAUGUAUAAACUUUAUUAGACUUUAACAUCCAAAGAAAUCAUGAAUCCCAAUACGAAAUACAUUUUGCAAUGCACUUUGCAAAUUUAUCGAUUAAAUUUAUGAACUCGUAUCAUGAAUUUUUCAAACGUUAUUAUCGUGACGUCCACGUCGAGGGGCGAAAUCCUCUCGAGGAUGUGAAACGAGAUAGCGGGGAAAACGAGGUAACACGAAAAGAAGAUUCAAUUUGGUGAUUUUUGCACCUGUUGCCUUCACGUUACAAAGGAGAAGGUAGAAAGAUACGCGGGAAGAAUCUGGACAACUGUGAUCGAAUUAUCGCGUGUUCUGCAAUAAAUCCAAGCCACGUUAUUCAAUUACGUCCGAUUUUAAUUGCUUUUAAUUAGUGUUGAUUGCGAAACAUUCACCGUGACAGAAAUAAUCGUAAAACGGUUUUAUUUUUUUCUUACGUACUGACGCAAUUGAGAAUCUUGAACUCGGCCCACGUUCGAAUUGUCGUAUCUCGCGUUGAACACGGUGCACGCACGAUUGAAUCGGCAGGUGAUUCACUGUGUGCUUUGGUUGUCAGCGUUUAAUUUCUAAUUGCAAUUCCCGAAGACAAGAGAAGAGAAUGAAAAAGAUAGUCGCUAAGCAGAUAACAGUGGCACAAAAAUAAAGGAACUGCCGCACGCUUGUGCCAGUUUCAUUAAACAGUCAA